GGGGAGCGAACAGGAUUAGAUACCCUGGUAGUCCACGCCGUAAACGGUGGAUGCUGGAUGUGGGGACCAUUCCACGGUCUCCGUGUCGGAGCCAACGCGUUAAGCAUCCCGCCUGGGGAGUACGGCCGCAAGGCUAAAACUCAAAGAAAUUGACGGGGGCCCGCACAAGCGGCGGAGCAUGCGGAUUAAUUCGAUGCAACGCGAAGAACCUUACCUGGGCUUGACAUGUUCCCGACAGCCGUAGAGAUACGGUCUCCCUUCGGGGCGGGUUCACAGGUGGUGCAUGGUCGUCGUCAGCUCGUGUCGUGAGAUGUUGGGUUAAGUCCCGCAACGAGCGCAACCCUCGCCCUGUGUUGCCAGCACGUCGUGGUGGGAACUCACGGGGGACCGCCGGGGUCAACUCGGAGGAAGGUGGGGAUGACGUCAGAUCAUCAUGCCCCUUACGUCCAGGGCUUCACGCAUGCUACAAUGGCCGGUACAACGGGAUGCGACCUCGUGAGGGGGAGCGGAUCCCUUAAAACCGGUCUCAGUUCGGAUUGGAGUCUGCAACCCGACUCCAUGAAGGCGGAGUCGCUAGUAAUCGCGGAUCAGCAACGCCGCGGUGAAUGCGUUCCCGGGCCUUGUACACACCGCCCGUCAAGUCAUGAAAGUGGGUAGCACCCGAAGCCGGUGGCCCAACCUUUUGGGGGGAGCCGUCUAAGGUGAGACUCGUGAUUGGGACUAAGUCGUAACAAGGUAGCCGUACCGGAAGGUGCGGCUG
rnacentral:rRNA from 1 species